rnacentral:rRNA from 1 species
AGUCGAACGCGAAAGUCCCCUUCGGGGGACAAGUAGAGUGGCGUCCGGGUGAGUAACACGUAGGUAAUCUACCUUCGGGUGGGGAAUAACGCAGGGAAACUUGCGCUAAUACCGCAUAAUGCAGCGGCACCACAUGGCGACAGUUGUUAAAGCGGGGGAUUUUCGAACCUCGCGCCUGAAGAGGAGCCUGCGGCAGAUUAGCUAGUUGGUAAGGUAAUGGCUUACCAAGGCGACGAUCUGUAACCGGCCUGAGAGGGCGGUCGGUCACACUGACACUGACAUACGGGUCAGACUCCUACGGGAGGCAGCAGUCGGGAAUUUUGGGCAAUGGGCGAAAGCCUGACCCAGCAACGCCGCGUGAAGGAUGAAAUCCUUCGGGAUGUAAACUUCGCAAGAAUGGGAAGAAUGAGUAGGGGCUAAUACUCCCUAUGAUGACGGUACCAUUUGUAAGCUCCGGCUAACUCCGUGCCAGCAGCCGCGGUAAUACGGGGGGAGCAAGCGUUGUUCGGAUUUACUGGGCGUAAAGGGCGCGUAGGCGGCCAGCGCAAGUCAGUUGUGAAAUCUCCGGGCUUAACUCGGAACGGUCAACUGAUACUGCGCGGCUAGAGUGCGGAAGGGGCAACUGGAAUUCUCGGUGUAGCGGUGAAAUGCGUAGAUAUCGAGAGGAACACCUGCGGCGAAGGCGGGUUGCUGGGCCGACACUGACGCUGAUGCGCGAAAGCCAGGGGAGCGAACGGGAUUAGAUACCCCGGUA